CAGAUUGAACGCUGGCGGCAGGCCUAACACAUGCAAGUCGAGCGGCAGCGGGAAGUAGUUUACUACUUUGCCGGCGAGCGGCGGACGGGUGAGUAAUGUCUGGGAAACUGCCUGAUGGAGGGGGAUAACUACUGGAAACGGUAGCUAAUACCGCAUGACCUCGUAAGAGCAAAGUGGGGGACCUUCGGGCCUCACGCCAUCGGAUGUGCCCAGAUGGGAUUAGCUAGUAGGUGGGGUAAUGGCUCACCUAGGCGACGAUCCCUAGCUGGUCUGAGAGGAUGACCAGCCACACUGGAACUGAGACACGGUCCAGACUCCUACGGGAGGCAGCAGUGGGGAAUAUUGCACAAUGGGCGCAAGCCUGAUGCAGCCAUGCCGCGUGUGUGAAGAAGGCCUUCGGGUUGUAAAGCACUUUCAGCGAGGAGGAAGGCAGUCGUGUUAAUAGCACGGUUGAUUGACGUUACUCGCAGAAGAAGC
rnacentral:rRNA from 1 species